UUUAGCGUACUAGCUUGGCUAGGGGAAUGAAGGAGCCAAACUUUAUACCUCUACUAAUGAAAAUGGUUUCCUUCCUUGUAUUGCUAUUGUUAUCAUCAAAAUUAGUUGUUGCCGAUGUUUCAGAAGAUCCAAUACACAAGGAUGCAGCAAGGAAGAUGAUCAUCAGUAGGUCGCAUCUGCAAAUCGAGAUGAUUUUGGCAGGGAACCGUCCAAUAGACGUACCAAUAGGUGAUAAACCACCGGGAUCGGGAUAAUAGCUAUAAUAAUGUGUCGCUGUUGCAUUGGUUCAAAGUGCCACGUCGACAAGCUUGUCAGAAGGAUGGCUAGGCUAAUAUCUCCAAGCAAGCCUGCCAGAAGAAUGAUUACUAUCUUUGUUUGUACCGAAUUUUUCAACAUGUUUGUAACACAACACUUACAAAUAAGUAUUUACAAGCAAAA